rnacentral:rRNA from 1 species
UACGAAGGGGGGCGAGCGUUUGUUCGGAAUUACUGGGCGUAAAGGGCGCGCAGGGCGGCUCUGAAAGUCAGAUGUGAAAGCCCCGGGCUUAACCUGGGGAAUCGCAUUUGAUACUCUGGAGCUUGAGUACGGGGAGAGGAUAGUGGAAUUCCCAGUGUAGAGGUGAAAUUCGUAGAUAUUGGGAAGACACGUGGCGAAGGCGGAU